AUUGAACGCUAGCGGCACGCCUAACACAUGCAAGUCGAACGGCAGCGUGUCUAACUUUCGGGUGAGAUGACGGCGAGUGGCGGACGGGUGAGUAAUACGUAGGAAUCUGCCUUGAAGUGGGGGACAACCACGCGAAAGCGUGGCUAAUACCGCAUAAUAUCUAAGGAUCAAAGCUGGGGACCGUAAGGCCUGGCACUUUGAGAUGAGCCUACGUUGGAUUAGCUUGUUGGUGAGGUAAAGGCUCACCAAGGCAACGAUCUAUAGCUGGUCUGAGAGGACGAGCAGCCACACUGGGACUGAGACACGGCCCAGACUCCUACGGGAGGCAGCAGUGGGGAAUCUUGGACAAUGGGGGCAACCCUGAUCCAGCGAUGCCGCGUGUGUGAAGAAGGCCUUCGGGCUGUAAAGCACUUUUAGUAGGGAAGAAAGAUUUUUAUUAAAUAGAUUAAAAUUUUGACAUUACUUACAGAAAAAGCACCGGCUAACUCUGUGCCAGCCGCCGCCGUAA
rnacentral:rRNA from 1 species